GCUCUCAUAGCUUAGUCAAUAAAGAAUCUGCCUGCAAUGCAGGAGGCCCGGGUUCAAUUCCUAGUUGGGGAA
rfam:TPA: Bos taurus chromosome 18, whole genome shotgun sequence.